GGUUAAGCUACUAAGAGUGUAUGGUGGAUGCCUUGGCGUCUAGAGCCUAUGAAGGACGUGGCUAGGCUGCGAAAAGCUCCGGGGAGUCGCUAAGCAGACUUUGAUCCGGAGAUGUCCGAGAUCGGGAAACCGACCAAGAUUCAUCUCUUGGAACCGACUGCGCAAGCAGUUGGAGGGAACGCAGAGAACUGAAACAUCUCAGUACCUGCAGGAAAAGAAAGAAACCUCGAAUCCCCCAGUAGCGGCGAGCGAACGGGGACAAGCCUAAACCGAUGUAGUGCCAAGCUUACGGGCGUUGCUGCGUCGGUGUCGCGGGAUCCACUGGAUUGGCCGUAUCCAAUCCAAGGAGUAAGAAAACCUAUCUUUAGGCGAACGGCAUGGGAAGGCCGGCCGCAGAGGGUGAAAGCCCCUUAGUCGAAAAGGAUGGGUCUCCUGUGGCGAUCCCAAGUAAUACCAGGCACGCGAAAUCUGGUAUGAAUCCGGGGGGACCACCCCCCAAGGCUAAUUACUACUAGACGACCGAUAGCGAAAUAGUAGCGCGAGCGAAAGGUGAAAAGUACCCCUAUUAGGGGAGUGAAAUAGUACCUGAAACCAUACACUUACGAGCUGUCGAAGGCCUAUGGCCCCUCGGGGCAACGGCUGACGGCGUGCCUUUUGCAUAAUGAUCCUGCGAGUUACUUUAUCUGGCGAGGUUAAGGGCUUAAGGCCCGAAGCCGAAGGGAAACCGAGUGUUAAUAGCGCGAAUCCAGUCAGAUGGAGUAGACCCGAAAGCAAGUGAUCUAACCUUGAGCAGGCUGAAGCGGAUGUAACAAUCCGUGGAGGGCCGAACGGGUAUAUGUUGAAAAAUGUUCCGAUGACUUGAGGUUAGGAGUGAAAGGCUAAUCAAACUUGCAAAUAGCUGGUUCUCCCCGAAAUAGCUUUAGGGCUAGCCUUCGGUGAUCAUCGGUGGGGGUAGAGCUACUGAAUGGGAUAGAGGGCCCUCGGGCUACUCUGCCCAAUCAAACUCCGAAUACCACCGCGUGUAACCGGGGAGUCAGUCUACGAGCGAUAAGGUUCGUGGACGAGAGGGAAACAACCCAGACCGCCAGCUAAGGUCCCGAAUGUGCGCUAAGUGAAGAGAAGGAAGUGAGAUCUCUAAGACAGUCAGGAUGUUGGCUUAGAAGCAGCCAUCAUUUAAAGAGUGCGUAAUAGCUCACUGAUCGAGAGGUCUCGCGCCGAAAAUGAACGGGUCUCAAGUGCACAACCGAGGCUGCGGACUGGCGACGAUCGUUGAUUGUCGCCAUUGGUAGGGGAGCGUUCCAAACGAGUGAAGGGUGACGGUAACGACGCCUGGACGUUCUGGAAGUGAUUAUGCAGGAAUAAGUAGCGAGAAAGCAGGUGAGAAUCCUGCUCGCCGCAAACCCAAGGUUUCCUGGGCACGGUAAAUCCGCCCAGGGUUAGUCGGACCCUAAGGCGAGGCCGAAAGGCGUAGUCGAUGGAAGACAGGUUAAUAUUCCUGUACCACCAGGUUGCGUUAAUACCGAAGGGGGGACACGGGAGGAAAAGUCAUCGUGCUAUCAGAUGCACGUAUAAGCCCGAGGGUGGCCUGGCGAAAACAGGCAUAAGCCCGGAGGUGAUGUCGAGCCUUUAUUGGCGAAGUGACCGGACUGACCGUCGAGAAAAUCCCCUAGGGGAGUGGAUCUGGUGUCCGUACCAAAACUGACACAGGUGGGUGAGGUGAAUAUCCUAAGGCGCUCGGAAGAACUGUUGUCAAGGAACUCGGCAAAUUAACCCCGUAACUUCGGGAUAAGGGGUGCCCUUUGGGUGAAGGCCUUCGCGGCUGUAGCAUCGAAGGGCCGCAGAGAAAUGGCCCAUACAACUGUUUACUAAAAACACAGGUCUAUGCGAACUCAAAACGAGGAUGUAUAUAGACUGACGCGUGCCCAAUGCCGGAAGGUUAAGAGGAGUGGUUAGCGUAAGCGAAGCUACGAAUUGAAGCCCCGGUGAAUGGCGGCCGUAACUAUGACGGUCCUAAGGUAGCGAAGUUCCUUGUCGGGUAAGUUCCGACCCGCAUGAAACGCGUAAUGAUAUGGGCUCUGUCUCGACAACAGAUCCGGCGAACUUGUAGCCGUGGUGAAGAUGCCACGUUCCCGCACCAAGACGGAAAGACCCCGUGAACCUUCACUAUAGCCUGAUAUUGGUGCUUGUCCUGACGUGCGUAGCAUAGGUGGGAGACGUUGAAGCUCGGCUUUUGGGUCGGGUGGAGUCAUCAGUGAAAUACCACUCUCGUCAUGAUAGGUUCCUAACGCGCCCCGUGCAGGGGCGCAGACAGUGUCAGGUGGGUAGUUUGGCUGGGGCGGUCUCCUCCAAAAAGGUAACGGAGGAGCACGAUGGUACACUCAGCGCGGUCAGCAAUCGCGCAUCGAGCGUAAGGGUAUAAGUGUGCCUAACUGCGAGAGAUAUAGCUCGAGCAGAUACGAAAGUAGGUCCUAGUGACCCGGCGGAUUCCAAGUGGAAGGGCCGUCGCUCAUCAGAUAAAAGGUACUCCGGGGAUAACAGGCUGAUCUCCCCCAAGAGUUCAUAUCGACGGGGAGGUUUGGCACCUCGAUGUCGGCUCAUCGCAUCCUGGGGCUGUAGGAGGUCCCAAGGGUUUGGCUGUUCGCCAAUUAAAGCGGUACGCGAGCUGGGUUUAGACCGUCGUGAGACAGGUCGGUCCCUAUCUGGUGUGGGUGUAGGAUGAUUGAGGAGGUUUUCCCCUAGUACGAGAGGAUUGGGGAGGACCGCCCUCUGGUGCUCCAGUUAUCACGCUAGUGGUAUAGCUGGGUAGCUAUGGCGGGAACGGAUAAGCGCUGAAUGCAUCUAAGCGCGAAGCCUUCUCCAAGACGAAUCAUCCCUAUCAGUCCCCUGGAAGACUACCAGGUUGAUAGGCCGGCGGUGUAAGCAUGGUGACAUGUUCAGCUUACCGGUACUAAUCGGACGAUCGGCUUAACCAC
rnacentral:rRNA from 1 species